UUCCGGUUGAUCCUGCCGGACCUGACUGCUAUCGGAUUGAUACUAAGCCAUGCGAGUCAUUGUAGUAAUACAAGGCAGACGGCUCAGUAACGCGUAGUCAACCUACCCUAAGGACGGGGAUAACCUCGGGAAACUGAGAAUAAUACCCGAUAGAACAUAGCUCCUGGAAUGGUUUAUGUUUCAAAUAAUUUAUUGCCCUAGGAUGGGACUGCGGCCUAUCAGUUUGUUGGUGAGGUAAUGGCCCACCAAGACUAUUACAGGUACGGGCUCUGAGAGGAGUGGCCCGGAGAUGGGUACUGAGACACGGACCCAGGCCCUAUGGGGCGCAGCAGGCGAGAAAACUUUGCAAUGUGCGAAAGCACGACAAGGUUAAUCCGAGUGGUUUCUGCUAAAGGAACCUUUUGUCGGUCCUAGAAACACCGAUGAAUAAGGGGUGGGCAAGUUCUGGUGUCAGCCGCCGCGGUAAAACCAGCACCUCAAGUGGUCAGGAUGAUUAUUGGGCCUAAAGCAUCCGUAGCCGGCUCUGUAAGUUUUCGGUUAAAUCUGUACGCUUAACGUACAGGCUGCCGGGAAUACUGCAUAGCUAGGGAGUGGGAGAGGUAGACGGUACUCGGUAGGAAGGGGUAAAAUCCUUUGAUCUAUUGAUGACCACCUGUGGCGAAGGCGGUCUACCAGAACACGUUCGACGGUGAGGGAUGAAAGCUGGGGGAGCAAACCGGAUUAGAUACCCGGGUAGUCCCAGCUGUAAACUAUGCAAACUCAAUGAUGCAUUGGCUUGUGGCCAAUGCAGUGUUGCAGGGAAGCCGUUAAGUUUGCCGCCUGGGAAGUACGUACGCAAGUAUGAAACUUAAAGGAAUUGGCGGGGGAGCACCACAAGGGGUGAAGCCUGCGGUUCAAUUGGAUUCAACGCCGGA
rnacentral:rRNA from 1 species